UGGGGAAUAUUGGACAAUGGGCGCAAGCCUGAUCCAGCCAUGCCGCGUGAGUGAUGAAGGCCCUAGGGUUGUAAAGCUCUUUCACCGGUGAAGAUAAUGACGGUAACCGGAGAAGAAGCCCCGGCUAACUUCGUGCCAGCAGCCGCGGUAAUACGAAGGGGGCUAGCGUUGUUCGGAUUUACUGGGCGUAAAGCGCACGUAGGCGGACUUUUAAGUCAGGGGUGAAAUCCCGGGGCUCAACCCCGGAACUGCCUUUGAUACUGGAAGUCUUGAGUAUGGUAGAAGUGAGUGGAAUUCCGGGUGUGGAAGUGAAAUUCGUAAAUAUUCGGAGGAACACCAGUGGCGAAGGCGGCUCACUGGACCAUUACUGACGCUAAGGUGCGAAAGCGUGGGGAGCAAACAGG
rnacentral:rRNA from 1 species